CGGAAGACGGGCAGAAUUAGUCGAAAGAUUGGAACUUUACGACCGGAAUUCCAAUUUUGGAAGUGCAGAGAAUCAGUCCGUUGACGAUGUGAUGGAAGUUCCUCAUGUUAGGACAUAUCGGGACAUAAAUGCUAGUUCAUUGUUACCUCAUGUAACCCAAACUUACAUACGACAGUAAUUUUGCUGUGAUGACAAGAAAAUAAGUGAAGCUAAGGCAUUGUGUGAGUCCCGAUACCUACCUUGUUUUAGCAAGAGGAUUUGGAUUCAAAUAUGGGG